rnacentral:rRNA from 1 species
GACGAACGCUGGCGGCGUGCUUAACACAUGCAAGUCGAACGAUGAAGCCGCUUCGGUGGUGGAUUAGUGGCGAACGGGUGAGUAACACGUGGGUAAUCUGCCCUGCACUCUGGGAUAAGCCUUGGAAACGAGGUCUAAUACCGGAUAUGACACACGUAGGCAUCUUCUGUGUGUGGAAAGUUCCGGCGGUGCAGGAGGAGCCCGCGGCCUAUCAGCUUGUUGGUGGGGUAGUGGCCUACCAAGGCGACGACGGGUAGCCGGCCUGAGAGGGUGACCGGCCACACUGGGACUGAGACACGGCCCAGACUCCUACGGGAGGCAGCAGUGGGGAAUCUUGCGCAAUGGGCGAAAGCCUGACGCAGCAACGCCGCGUGGGGGAUGACGGCCUUCGGGUUGUAAACCUCUUUCGACAGGGACGAAGCUUUCGGGUGACGGUACCUGUAGAAGAAGCACCGGCUAACUACGUGCCAGCCGCCGCAGUAACAC